ensembl:lncRNA
UUGGCACCUUAAACUGUAAUUCUUCAAAUUACUAAAUUACUCAUAGAGAUUUCAGGAAUAAAUAUAGUGUAAUAUGAUUAAGAAUGGAGAUGGUUCAAACUCUAGCUGUGCUGCUUACCAAUAAAUGACCUCAAAUCAGUUAUUUCACCUCCCUGAGUCUCAUUUACUUCAUCUAUAAAAUGGGAAUAAUAAUAGUGCCUACAUUAUAGGGACAUGGUAAAGCCAUGAAUGUCAAAUACUGUCAUGGUACCUGGCACAGAACAAGUGCCUAACUGAUGUUCUUAUACAACUAUAAUUAUUGUCUGAAAAGCUGGUGUUUCAGAUAGAACUGAGAACACAGGCAUGAGGAGGUCUUUUUCAUCUUUAUAUCACCAGUGCUUUGCACAGAGCAUAUCACAAAGUAAAAGUUUGAUAAAUAGUUGUGAAUAAAGAUUGAAUGAAGGAGUGAAUGAAUGAAUGAGCUGAUUUUCCCAUUCCAUCAAGGGCCAUGUCUACAUACUACUAAAUUGAUCUAGAAAAAGAAACAAAACGACAUACAUUUUAAGUGUUUAAAUUCAAAUCAAGGAUUUAAAAAAAAUAAUUCAUUUCAGCAAGUUCUCUGAGUUUAUUCAGUAAGGGGUAGGAGAAGCUAGAAGCAUUUUUACAGCUUAAAAAUACUACCUGGCUAUUCAACUUCCAUGAGCCAUUUAACCCACUGGGAAAAAUCAGAGUGUUUCUUUCAUCCUUCAAAAUCUUGGUAAUCAUCCUAAAAAGGAAAGUCAGUUUAAAAAAAAAGAAUGUGCAUGGAGAAAAUGAGGGAGAAGGGAAAGAAACAAGACAAAAGACAAGGAAAAAAAAAAAGAUGGAGAAGAGAAAGGUCUUUCCAUCCUAGAGACAUAUUUUUACUACCCCCUCACUGUGUGAUAAGCUAUGUUGUGAGCAUCAUCUAGUUAUAGUUCCCAAUGAAAGGAUAAAGAGCAGAGGUUUCCAAAUAAUGACCCACAUGGGUGAAAUCUUAUCUUAGGUGUUAAGGGAAUGCUUUCAUAUAAUGGAAAAUACAUAUUUAUAUAAUGCCACCAACUCUAAGAAGGAAGAUCAAAGUAUCAGGAAACGUGAAUUAGCAGGAAAUCCCUGCUACAUCUUAUUAUACAUACAAAUGUUUUCUGCCAUAUUUAUCUAUCCUUAUGAUUCCUGCUUAAAUGUUACUUUCUCAGAAAAGCCCUCCUUCAUGCUACAUCCUGGGGUGGGCACUUUGUUACAUGCUCUAAUAGUAUCUGAUUCUCUUCUAAUACAGCAGUUAUUUACUGCUAUAAUUAGGGAGUUAUUUGGAUAAUUGUUUAAUACACGUAUCCCCUGCCAGGCUGUGAGGCAGUUCUAUGAAGUCAGCGUUCCUGUUGGCUAUUCACCCUGAAAUCACCCAAACUUGCACAUGCUUUGCGUGAAAUAGAUCAAGAAUAAAUACAUGUAUACUUGAUCCUCAUUAUUUGUGAUUUCUGUACUCGUGAAUUUUUCUACGUGCUCAAAUUUGUUUGUAACCCCAAAAUCAAUGUUCCUGGCACUUUUAUAGCCAUUUGUGGACAUGUGCAGAGUGGCGAAAAAUUUGUGUCCAGAUAUAUCUGAUGCCAACAGAAGCCAAAAAAACCUUGUAUCAUACUGUAUACAACUAUCUCUGUUGUGGUCUAUUUAGUGCCAUAUUUUUUCACAUUUGGUGAUCUCACUGUUUAAAAUGGCACCCAAGUAUAAUGCUGAAAUUCUAUCUAAUGUCCCCAAGUGCUGUGAUGUGACUUUCAGAGAAAACAUAAGUGUUUGAUAAAUUUUAUUUAGAUACAAGGUAUAGUGCUAUCGGUCAUGCAGAGUUCAGUGUUAAUAAAUCAUGUUUAUUAAACAAAGCAUCUUUAAACAGAAACAAAAUAAGGCUAUAUAUUGAUCAGUUAAUAAAAAUGCUGCAGUUAGGGGCUCAUAAGAAACUAUCCCUGAAUUUCCUCUAAGAGCAAUGGUUUAGUAUUCACAAACUCAAUGUUUGCAGCAACUGUAUAAAACAUGACUAUUGAAAAAACUGAGAAUUAACUAUAUAUAGAUUGGACAUAUAUUUAGUAAGUUUGCAUGUGUGUGUAAGCAUAUACUAGCCAUUUUAGAGUCAUACAACUUGUAAAAUUUAAUAAGACAUAGAUACUGUGGGAUGAGGGGCAGUGUGGAAGGAAUUAUGUAUAUACAGAGAGAGCCCUACACUGCACUGCUCCAGAGUAGGCACGAGCAGUGUUGGCAUUCAUGUCAUAGUCCACGGGAACAUGCUCACUGCAGAGUUUUUCAAUGUGGUGACACUUCAUUCAAAUACACACAUACACACAUUUGUAUAUGAUUCUGGCCAUUCCUAACUUCCUAUCACGUACCUCAGGUAAAACUCUGACAGAUUGAAGAAAUACAUAUAUAUCAGAUAUGGCCCAUUUUAACUUUAUUUCCAAUGUUUUACAAUGAUUAACAUUUAGGUCAUUUGCAUUUUACUCACUAGUAACAAACACUAGAUAAUUUCAAGUUAUAUGCAUCUCCAGAAGGAGAACUUGUUUAGAAGCACUGUCUUCAGACAGUUCCCUUAGGUGAACUAAAUACAAGUAAAAAAAAAUCAAGAGGUGAAUAAAUAUAUAUAUUGCACCAAGAAUAUUAGCACUAAACUGGUCAGUUUGCUUUCCUAAGAUUCUACGGAUUCUCCUGUCUAUAUGGUGGGCACUAAUAUAAAUGUAAGUUUUCUUUAAUAUCCAGAUUCUUUGGAGGCAGUAACUACUAAGUACCUGACACUGUGUCCUUUGAAUAACUGACAAUGUUUCUUAGUAAAGCUUCUAAUUAAAUUUGUUGGAGG